AAAGAUUCCACCUUUGAGCUCUGGACGACGGUGACAAAUCUCUUCGCCUCACAAUCUCAGUCUCGGAUUACUAAUCUGAGAAUCGCCAUCACCAAUACCAAGAAGGGCUCGAUGUCAAGCUCGGCGUAUAUGGCGAAGAUGAAAAGUCUUGGGGAUGAACUAGCUGCUGCAGGUCGUCCCGUAUCUGAUCCGGAGAUGGUGGACUAUAUUCUGGCCGGACUGGACCGCGACUACGACCCCGUGGUGGCGGCGAUCGGCGCUGUCAAAAACAUCAUCACAGCCGACGAUCUUUUUGCCCAGAUUGCUGCCUUUGAUCAAAGGAUGGAGAUGCUAGGCGACUCAUCUUCAGGCGGGUUCUAUUCAUCCGCUAAUGCGGUCUACAGAGGCCGUGGCCAGUCCCGUGGCAGAUCUCGCGGGCGUGGAGGAAGAGGCCGUGGCCGUGGUGAUCGUGGUGACCGCGGUGACCGACAGUCGUCUUCCUCCAAUGGAGGCGGCGGAUUCAGA
rnacentral:rRNA from 1 species